CUUUUGAAUUAUUUGGGAGAUCAUUUCAACUCCCUCCCAUUUUUUCCUAGCCCUAACCUAGAAUCAAACUAUCGGCGAUUUCACUGUACAGCUGACGUUCGUGAGUGUGAAGUACACCGGUAGCAAGAAAUCAAUUGGUGAUAAGUAUGCUUGUCUUCUUCUUCUUCUUCUUCGAAUUCUCUCAUCUCGUUAUUCCGACAUCGACGGUCAUCAGCCAUCAGAACGAAGGUCCACUAGGGGAACAGGUACUCUCUCCACCGUAUCAUUCGAACCCUACCCUGUUACCAGAUCAUCGGCGACCAACACCAACCGACGUCCAUGAGGAGCUUCUAUCCAAAGUGCUACAGGUCUCUUGAGUCUUGACUCUUGAUUAUGAAAUUCAAGCUAGCUCCUUACAAGAAAUUGGUGGUUUCCCAAGACGUGCUAGUUUCCUGUCAUGAAGAUCAGUACUGCUUUGGCCGUGCUUAAUUUUGAGUUCUGUCUGCCGACCUGUUCAAGAUACUGGGUACUGGAAACAAGGCCAAGCUACUGGAAACAAGCUAGUGCCAUUCAUUGGGUACCCUAGAAUUGCCAUGUGGCAAUUCAUGCCCCCUGCUGCAAUUGGUGCCUCACAAGAUCAUGUUCUCUGCCCCCCGGUUGCUUAAGCUGGAAGAUCUUGGUGAUAGAUUAGCCUUAAUGUUCCUAAAGAAAUGUUCAGUGUCUUUGAUCUUUUUUUUUUGGAAAAUUUCCUUGUUGACUUCAUUUUAGUUGGAAAUCAGAAAUAACAAGAUUAGAUGGGUUAAAAACAUUCGGAAUUUUGUAAUUUUGUUAACCCGGUAUUGUUGCUCAUUUGUAAAAUCGGAUCCAAGUAAUUUAUUUUGGAUUCUCGUCUGUGUG